rnacentral:rRNA from 1 species
UUUUAUGGAGAGUUUGAUCCUGGCUCAGGAUGAACGCUGGCGGCGUGCCUAAUACAUGCAAGUCGAGCGAACGGACGAGAAGCUUGCUUCUCUGAUGUUAGCGGCGGACGGGUGAGUAACACGUGGAUAACCUACCUAUAAGACUGGGAUAACUUCGGGAAACCGGAGCUAAUACCGGAUAAUAUUUUGAACCGCAUGGUUCAAAAGUAAAAGACGGUCUUGCUGUCACUUAUAGAUGGAUCCGCGCUGCAUUAGCUAGUUGGUAAGGUAACGGCUUACCAAGGCAACGA